UACGAAGGGGGCUAGCGUUGUUCGGAAUCACUGGGCGUAAAGGGCGCGUAGGCGGCUUUGUAAGUCGGGGGUGAAAGUCUGUGGCUCAACCACAGAAUUGCCUUCGAUACUGCAUGGCUUGAGACCGGAAGAGGUAAGUGGAACUGCGAGUGUAGAGGUGAAAUUCGUAGAUAUUCGCAAGAACACCAGUGGCGAAGGCGGCUUACUGGUCCGGUUCUGACGCUGAGGCGCGAAAGCGUGGGGAGCAAACAGG
rnacentral:rRNA from 1 species